rnacentral:lncRNA from 1 species
UUUGCCAAUAUAAAUCAGUUCUUGAAUACAUUUGACAAAGUUCAAAAAAAAAAAAAAAAAUACAAUAUGAACAAGCUAGAUUCUGCAGCUAGCCAAUAUAUUUCCAAAAUAGCUACGCUCAACUAUGUCCUGAAAAAAUGAAUAUGAGAAUUUAGAAUACCAUUGAAGCUAGCUAUUUAGUAAAUUACGCAUUAAUUAUGCAAACUGCAAUUAUUAGAAGAUGAAUUGAACAAGCCCAAAAAUAUGGUUUAAACCAGAUACCUGGUUGAGAAACUUCUCUGCCAUGACCCAAGGUGUAGGAUUAUCCAUUAAUACUUCAUCUGCUUCAAAAUUUUCGUUAUCAUUAUUUCGAAACGGUACUGAUGCGCUAAAUCACAAAGAAUGCGGAAGCAAUUUGUUAACACCGAUGAUCUACACCAAUAAGGGUCUAACUUUGUAUAAUUCCUCAAAAUUUUAUCUUAAAAAAAAAAAAAAAAAAAAAAAUCAUCUGGCAGAAAUAUAUAUUUUUACUCUUUUUUUUCAGAAAUUUUAUUGAUAAACUUGAAGAAUGACAUAAAACAAGAAGACAAGCGUGCUAUAAGCUGCGCUGCAAGUCCUUUCUGAAUAGCAAAACCAAUCCUUCUGAAAACAUACAAGCUACGCUGCAAGUCCUUUAACGCUAAGGAUAUCACCUUUUUAAUUACUAUGCAUGUACUAAUUUAUGACCAUAUUUUUACUUAUAUUCCAUUUUGUCACAGCCAGAGCUCUGAGAAAUCAUUUUUUUUUUCUUAAUAAUUAAUACUUUUUGAAGCAAUAAUAACAUCAACUUUUAUUUUCUCACAAAGUAUUAAGAUACUAUUUCAGAUACUACAAGUAUAUUUAGGCAAAACCUUUUUGAAAAUAUUGAUCAAAUCAAGACAACCAAUAACAUAAUUAGAUUGGUAACUAUGGUUAAAUCAGGACUAAUAAUGUAUGCAGGCAACAGAAAAUAUACCUCUUCGAUCGAGGAUUCAUGUAGGAUCAUUUUCGUCUGCUAAUCCUCAGCUGUCUGUGCCAGUGCUCCAACCCAUUGAUUCAUCAUCUAUUUAUUUUGAUUAAUAAAUAGUUGUUAUUACAAUUAAAUGUUAGGAAGACAAAUAUUUAAUGAUUUGGAAAGAAAAAAAAAUUAAUAACUUUCUCAAGUCAUCAGCUCAGACAACAACAAAAAUCAAUAACAAAAUCAGCAAUAAAAACAAGGAUAUUUGAGUAGGAUUUUACCGUAUAGAAGAAAGAUGACAACACUGGAUAUUGUAAGAAAAUGUACGUUUUCUUUUCCGAUACCACCUAUUCCCACAUAACAUAUUCCUCCAACAAAACCACCCAAAAGUUUUAAAAACAUUAUGAAAGACUUGAAAGCUUCCAUCCUACACUACAAAUAAAUCUUUUA